CAAUGUCCUCUUCUUCAGGUCUCCACCUUAGCCAACGUUCGCCAGCAUUUCAGCACGCACUUCACGGCCAUCAGCUGCACCAAGCAUUCAAGGAGCAGAUCACUUCAUUUCCAGCAGUCUUCAUCAGGUAUCCUCGUUGCCAAUAUCUUUGAUAACCCUCAAGCUCCUGCUUCAUUCCAAGGGCCAGACGUCAUACAAAUGUUAGGAGACAAAGGCUUCCUGCUCCAACCAAAGUAUGAUGGAUCCAUUACACAACCAUCUGACAGGCCCAGCACAGAUAGUGCAAUGCAGUCCAUUUGUUCACCGAGAACAUUGAGGGCCAGGUGAUAGCCUUCGUCAAGGUACAAAGAAUAGGAAUAAGGCUGGAAGAAAAUAUGACGUAAAUCACAGCUAUAUAAGUUUGACACCAUUUGUGAUGGCUACUGUUUCGU